GAGUUUGAUCGUGGCUCAGAUUGAACGCUGGCGGCAUGCCUUACACAUGCAAGUCGAACGGCAGCAUGAUCUAGCUUGCUAGAUUGAUGGCGAGUGGCGAACGGGUGAGUAAUACGAUCGGAACGUGCCCUGUAGUGGGGGAUAACUAGUCGAAAGAUUAGCUAAUACCGCAUACGACCUGAGGGUGAAAGUGGGGGACCGCAAGGCCUCAUGCUAUAGGAGCGGCCGAUGUCUGAUUAGCUAGUUGGUGGGGUAAAGGCCCACCAAGGCGACGAUCAGUAGGCUGGUCUGAGAGGACGAUCAGCCACACUGGGACUGAGACACGGCCCAGACUCCUACGGGAGGCAGCAGUGGGGAAUUUUGGACAAUGGGCGAAAGCCUGAUCCAGCAAUGCCGCGUGUGUGAAGAAGG
rnacentral:rRNA from 1 species